UACGUAGGGUGCGAGCGUUAAUCGGAAUUACUGGGCGUAAAGCGCGCGUAGGCGGAUUUGCAAGUCGGGGGUGAAAGCCCGAGGCUCAACCUCGGAACUGCCCUCGAUACUGCAAAUCUCGAGUCCGAGAGAGGUGAGUGGAAUUCCUAGUGUAGAGGUGAAAUUCGUAGAUAUUAGGAAGAACACCAGUGGCGAAGGCGGCUCACUGGCUCGGUACUGACGCUGAGGCGCGAAAGCGUGGGGAGCAAACAGG
rnacentral:rRNA from 1 species